rnacentral:rRNA from 1 species
GUGGGGAAUAUUGGACAAUGGGCGAAAGCCUGAUCCAGCCAUGCCGCGUGUGUGAAGAAGGUCUUCGGAUUGUAAAGCACUUUAAGUUGGGAGGAAGGGCAGUAAGUUAAUACCUUGCUGUUUUGACGUUACCAACAGAAUAAGCACCGGCUAACUUCGUGCCAGCAGCCGCGGUAAUACGAAGGGUGCAAGCGUUAAUCGGAAUUACUGGGCGUAAAGCGCGCGUAGGUGGUUCAGCAAGUUGAAGGUGAAAUCCCCGGGCUCAACCUGGGAACUGCAUCUAAAACUACUGAGCUAGAGUACGGUAGAGGGUAGUGGAAUUUCCUGUGUAGCGGUGAAAUGCGUAGAUAUAGGAAGGAACACCAGUGGCGAAGGCGACUACCUGGACUGAUACUGACACUGAGGUGCGAAAGCGUGGGGAGCAAACAGGAUUAGAUACCCCAGUAGUCC